rnacentral:rRNA from 1 species
CAGGGAACUGAAACAUCUAAGUACCUGGAGGAAGAGAAAGAAAAAUCGAUUUCCUGAGUAGCGGCGAGCGAAACGGAAAGAGCCCAAACCAAGAAGCUUGCUUCUUGGGGUUGUAGGACACUCUAUACGGAGUUACAAAAGAAAGUUAUAAAUGAAGCGGUCUGGAAAGGCCCGCCAAAGACGGUAACAGCCCGGUAGUUGAAAUGGCUUUCCCUCCAGAGUGGAUCCUGAGUACGGCGGAACACGUGAAAUUCCGUCGGAAUCCGGGAGGACCAUCUCCCAAGGCUAAAUACUCCCUAGUGACCGAUAGUGAACCAGUACCGUGAGGGAAAGGUGAAAAGCACCCCGGAAGGGGAGUGAAACAGUUCCUGAAACCGUGUGCCUACAAGUAGUUAGAGCCCGUUAAUGGGUGAUAGCGUGCCUUUUGUAGAAUGAACCGGCGAGUUACGAUUUGUUGCAAGGUUAAGCGGAAAAAGCGGAGCCGUAGCGAAAGCGAGUCUGAAUAGGGCGCAUAAGUAACAGGUCGUAGACCCGAAACCAGGUGAUCUACCCAUGUCCAGGAUGAAGGUAAGGUAAUACUUACUGGAGGUCCGAACCCACGCACGUUGAAAAGUGCGGGGAUGAGGUGUGGGUAGCGGAGAAAUUCCAAUCGAACUUGGAGAUAGCUGGUUCUCUCCGAAAUAGCUUUAGGGCUAGCCUCGAGGUAAAGAGUCAUGGAGGUAGAGCACUGUUUGGACUAGGGGCCCUUCUCGGGUUACCGAAUUCAGAUAAACUCCGAAUGCCAUGUACUUAUACUCGGGAGUCAGACUGCGAGUGAUAAGAUCCGUAGUCGAAAGGGAAACAGCCCAGACCACCAGUUAAGGUCCCCAAAUAUAUGUUAAGUGGAAAAGGAUGUGGGGUUGCUUAGACAACCAGGAUGUUGGCUUAGAAGCAGCCACCAUUGAAAGAGUGCGUAAUAGCUCACUGGUCGAGUGACCCCGCGCCGAAAAUGUACCGGGGCUAAACAUAUUA